CGCGUAUGCAAUCUACCUUUCACAGAGGGAUAGACCCAGAAGAAAUUUGGAUUAAUACCUCAUAGUAUAGCAGUUUCGCAUGAAACCACUAUUAAAGUCACAACGGUGAAAAGAUGAGCAUGCGUCCCAUUAGCUAGUUGGUAAGGUAACGGCUUACCAAGGCAACGAUGGGUAGGGGUCCUGAGAGGGAGAUCCCCCCACACUGGUACUGAGACACGGACCAGACUCCUACGGGAGGCAGCAGUGAGGAAUAUUGGACAAUGGGCGCAAGCCUGAUCCAGCCAUGCCGCGUGCAGGAUGACGGUCCUAUGGAUUGUAAACUGCUUUUAUACAGGAAGAAACACUACUUCGUGAAGUAGCUUGACGGUACUGUAAGAAUAAGGAUCGGCUAACUCCGUG
rnacentral:rRNA from 1 species